ensembl:lncRNA
ACACAUAUGCAUACGUAUUCACACUCUCUCUGUCUGCAUACACAGACAAAAGACAGCACACACACAUGCUCUCACAAACACACACAUUGCACACGCUAAAACAUUUUAAACAUCCAACCUGUAACAAACACUGAAAUACACACACUCUGACACAAAUGCUUAUAUACACACACUUACACAUAUUAUCAUACAUAUAUGCUCAAACCACAAACACAACCAGACAUACACACACACACACACACACAUACAAACACACAUUCACACACACUCAUGCAUAAUCGAACCCCAGCUAUUCAUUUACUCUCAUACAGACAAACACAGUUACAUACAUGCUACAAUUCCUACAACAGACUCAUAGAAAUACCCCUAAAAACAAGCACACACUCUCAUAUUCAGCCACUCUCAUUUGGUGUUGCAUUAAAUAAAUUCACAUACUCUCCAUUUGAAUUCAUGAGGGUGACUUACCACAGCAGGUGCUAAGAACACUGUCACAUUCUGGUAUUUAGACAGGUCAGUCUAAGGAAAAUAGCAAUGAACAGUUGAUAUGGUAAUUAUGAUUGGUACUAAUUUUGAUGACACAUUGGCAUUAUGAUACUGUAUAGCAUAAUAUACAUCUUAAUCUCAAAUACUUAAGUAAUCAUACUUGUAUAAUGAUAAUUGAUUAUAUAAAAUAACAAAUAUAACUUUAUUAUAGUAGAAAGAAGAACACUGUUCUUGGCAAACUACCUGUACAAAUCACUGUAAAGUAGCACAGAAAAAUAACCAAGUGAUCAUACAGUUGUAUACAGGGCAUCUCUGAGCACAUGUAUCAGUAUAUUUUAGUUCAUGAAAUAAAAUGUAGCUUUGCAUUAAUAUUUAAAGAAUGGCUCAUUUCUAAGGGGUUGUAUUUAGUCCUUUUCACGUCAACAAAACAGCAAAAUGUCAUGAUCCAAUUUGUCCAGAGGUGCCCACACUUUUGCACUUAUGUCCAAAGCGACGUACAAGGGAGAGAACAGUCAAGCUACGAGCAAUAGAGACCUAGUGUAACAAUAUAUACUGCUUUACAUAAGAAAUUAAAAAAAGAAAUAGAAAAAAGAAGUGCAGGAAUGUAACUGCUGUAAGUGCAAGUUAAGUACUAGUCGAAGUGCCAGUUAGGAAGGGAGGUGCUCUCUGAAGAGUUGGGUCUUCAAAAGCUUCUUAAAAGGUAGAGAGGGACGCCCCUGCUCUGGUAGUGCUAGGCAGUUCGUUCCACCACCGUGGAACUACAAAUGAGAAUAGUCUGGAUUGCCGUACUUGCACAGACGGCAGUGCCAAACGACGCUCACUAGACGAGAGCAGCAUCCUAGGUGUAACAUUUGCCCUUACAAGAGCAUUUAGGUAGGUGGGAGCAGAACCAGCAAUCACUCUGUAGGCAAGCAUAAGUGACUUGAACUUAAGGCGAGCAGCUACAGGCUGCCAGUGGAUACUGUGAUGAGAACAAAUUCAAUGACAAAACCGAUUGGAAUUAUAAGUCAGUUAUACCAACUUAAAGGAGCAAUAUGUAGUUGGAACACCAAGCGUUAAAAAUCGAUAUCGCAUUCUAAAUUCAAAAUAUUUGAGAGCUAUGUCUCCACCCUUCCCCUCCUCCCCAGAUGCGAUGCUCACACGGGUUGCCAGGUUAAGGACGCGGAACCUGCACGAACAAGCGCAAGACGAGCUCAGCAUUGUGUGCAGUGUGUCUAUUGUUUAUGAACCAGCUCAUAUGGAGUUUGUAUACUCUGUCAGUGUUGGAUAAUGGUAACACAUUGCUCAAUUUACAGAUAACGUAUAAAUCAUUUCACAUCUAUUAUGGAGUAGUAGCCUACUGUUCUUCCUUGUUGCAGCCUGACUCAGAUUUCAGUUAUGAAGUACCCUCACCAAGUCAAGUGAGACCAGUGAGGGCUCGUCAGGUGCCGCUGAAACAAGAGGCAGAGAGCGGAGAGGAUGAGCUAGAGAGAGGAGGAGGAUGAGAAGACAGAGUGCAGGUCCUAGUGGCACAAGAGGCAGAGGAUCUAAAGUAAAAGCAACAGAGAGAAGGAAGAGAGUGCAGGUCCUGCAUACCUGUCAAGUUAACACGACUGAAAUCCGUGAGAUCAGUGAUUGAAAUCCAUGAAAAUCCAUGAACCAUCCUCACUGCCCACACACAAAAGACAACAGCAUAUUGUCACAUUUGCGAGGCAUUUCGUAAACAGGUCUGGUUCACUUCUAGAUAACAAGUUGUUCAGUGAUGCUGAAUAAUGAAAUGUGUUGACUAGUAGCCUAAAACUGCUACAAAGACAUAGUGAGCCACACAGUACUCACUCGCACUGCACAGCAGUUUAAUUGACUUGUAAUUAUUAAUUUAUGCAAUUGGGAUUGAGUCUCACACAUAAAAUGAGACUUGACAGGUAUGGUCCUGGUCAAAGACACAGAGUCCAGAAAGGAAGAGCCAGAGGAAGAAUGGCAGAGAGGAGAGAGUGUCUACCACUAGCGAAAUUUUACCACAUCUUUUGAUUAUCACAAAAUUUUAUAAACUCUUCUAAAAUAGGUAAAUGGUUUCUAUUCGAUUAGAUAGAUUAAAAAGGUAGUAGCUAAGGAUGGGCAUGAGCAAUGUUACUCUAUGUGUACAUCAGAAUUUGUUCAACGUAUAGAGUAAUCACUAAUCACGAUUGUAAAUGUAGUCAAUUUAGAGUCAAACUUGCAGUUUCUGUCACGCAGUUUUUUGCCAAGUAGUGGGGCGGCUUAGCUUGAUAGUUCACAAGAAUUGUGCACUUUGUGAAAGUGUGAAAUUUGGUACACAUAUAGCCAAAGACAGUCCAAAAAAAUUUGAAUGUGUCCGGCAGGGAUUCCAAAAUCGGCCGAGGGUUUUGCCUUGACGGACAUUUGUGUUCCUCUGUGUUUUUAAAAAAUGAGUUAUUACGUCCCUGCAUGUGAAAAAGAUGGCAAAACUUUGUCGCGGGGGAGGGGGCGGGGUCAUCCGCAUGUGAAAAAGAUGGACAAACUCUGUUGCGGGGGGAGGGGCGGGGUCAUCCACAUAUGAAAAAGAUGGCAAAACUCUGUUGCGGGGGUUUGUUGCAAGUCAUAUCUCUCCAAUGAAUUCAAACUUGGAGGUGACACAAACAUGUCACUUGAUAGCUCUUGAUUUGUGAGAACAAAAAAGAUUCUGGGCUAAUGUUACAAUACUGAUUUUAAUUCUGCAUCACAAAAUGUAUGAUUAAAUAUGGAAAUCAUCCAAAUCAUAUGCAAUAUAAGUAACUUUAUUUCUAUUACAAAUGUCAUGCUAAUCAUGGCUACCAUCUUGAAUUUUUAUUGAUUUUAAAUAUUUUUUAUGUAUUAACUUCCAAAAACUAUGUAUGAUGAUUAUAUUUAACUAACAAGAUCAUCAACAUCAUAUUAUAUCCCAUAAAAAUAAGAGAAUUGAUCUGAAAACUCUUGCACCGGCAGCCAUCUUGAAAAAUGCCUGCUACGGCCGCCAUGUUGAAAAUUCAUGAUGGCCCGAUAUCUACAUUUUUUCAGACUGUCUUUGGCAAUAUGUGUACCAAAUUUCACGCUUUUAUCACAAAAUGCACAAUUGUUCAGGUUAUCUGCCCCUGGAGUGUUGAAAUGACUGAAAAUGCCCAUCCCUGCUAGUACACGUCAUAAAUGAGUUAAGGUAAGCUAACCUUAGCUGAAGCUCAAUGCUUACCUGUUCGGGGGAAAAUUAGCUAACUUUGCAUCUGUCUUAAAAUCGUUCUGAGCUCUUAACUGUCUCCAUCUUUCAACUGCAUGUUGAAUAUUUACCUGCAUUUUACUACAUCUAUGGUCAUGCAGCAUUUAAGAAGGAUGCCAAAGAUUUGUCGAGUACUAUCAAACAUUGGUCCAGUUAGUUUGCUUACUUCCAUGGCGGUUGCACCCUGUGUUUGUAUUCUUAUCUGGCAAACCAGGGUUGAAAUGGUACUGGAGAAAUGGGAAGUGGGCAGAAUAAACAGGCUAAAACACAAACAGACAUUCCACUCCGGAACAGAAUUUUUAAAAGGAGAAUAAUACUAGCUGUAGCAUUGUUGUCAGAGAAGCCAGAAUUUUUGUUUAGCAUGUUUCCUUAAUCUCUCUCUCUACGUUCAUUUUAUGAUUUAGUACAUGACAUUUAUUACAUAUUGGUCCUUUACACAGUGGGAAGAGACAUAAACCAGAGAAUAAAUUAUCAUUGGGGGGCGAUAGUGGUUCAAGAGGUAGAGGAGUCGUUCAGCAAUCAGAAGGUUGCUAGUUUGAUCCCGACUCCUCCUCACCAAGUGUUGAAGUGUCUUUGGGCAAGACACUGAACACCCAAACUCAUACUCUAGCACUGGCUCUCACUCUCAAACACAUGUACAGCCCGUCACUAAAACAUACCAUUACCUUCCAAAAGUCCUGAUUGAGAAAACGGAUGUGUGUGGGGGGGAUGGCUCUCCUCCUGACGCGUGCUCUAGAGUAGGCCAACAGCACAGGGUUCACCUCAAAACCUGUACAUUGGAAGCCCAUGGAGUGGGCACCUAAUAUCUGAGGGGUCAGUGAGACAUCACACACUCAUCACUCUCAGUGUAUUAUAGCCUACAGUGCCCCACACACUUAAAGAGCUUUUACAAUCAUUUUCACAAUUGUUUCAAUAUCAUCAUAGUGUGCCUCCUUUUCCAGUACAUUAAGUGAAACAACAACACAUAAGACUUUUGAUCUGUUGGUUUGCCUGUCACAGUACACUUUCGAGUGUGGUACAUUUACUUUAGUUGCAUCCAAGUCACUUUCUCUCAUUGAUAGCCCAUGACUUCCAUACAGCAGUAAUAGUGGAAAAAUCUCUUCAGCGACAACUACAUACAUGCACAUUUCAAGGCAAAUAUGGUCACUUUUCUAUAGGUGAUAACAAGGCUGCAAACCAAAAACAGAAUAAAAUUUCAGGUAAAAUCUGAUUUUAUUCUUAUAUCAAGUGAAUAGUUUAAUAUAUCUGUAAAAAUACAGCAUAUUUGCAUCUACAUUUUGUUGGGUUUUGAACUGAAAGUGAACUAUUUUGAUCAGAGUAUUGAAAUCUCUUUGACUGAGAAAGGUAUUCAUGAAUUUAGGAGGAAGUGGUGACUGAAAGCAUUUUGUAUCAAGGCAAUGCAAAAAUACCCAGUUUAGUUCACAUAGUCCUGAUAUGUGUGUGAAGUGUUUUGAAAAAGACACUUAUCUGUCACUCAAGUGUCAAACCACUAGUCGCAAACUGUAAACCAACUGUGCUACAUUCACACAUUAUAUAACAUUAUGUUAUGUGAGUCUCUACACUUGCAGAGCUCUUAUGAGGCUUCUCAUGCAUUUUGUUCAGUCUCCGACCAAUCAGCAACCAGAGGGGAGUGGGUCUAAAUUUCUAAAUCGGUCACGUCAUCACUGAGACAGUUUCAUUUCCAGUGGUAAACAGUAUUGAUCAGGUCAGUGGUAGAGUAAAGGGUAAUGAUCAAGUCACUGUUGGACUAAAUGUAUUGAUUGGGUCAGUGGAACAGUAAAGGGUCUAGAUCAGGUCAGUGGAACAGUAAAAAGUAGAGUGUAGAGUGUGGGGUAUUGAUCAUAGGGUAUUGAUCAGGUCAGUGUUAGGGUAAAGGGUAUUGAUCGGGUAAGUGGUAGACUAAAGGGUCUAGAUCAGGUCAGUGGAACAGUAAAGAGUAGAGUGUAGAGUGUGGGGUAUUGAUCAUAGGGUAUUGAUCAGGUCAGUGUUAGGGUAAAGGGUAUUGAUCGGGUAAGUGGUAGACUAAAGGGUCUAGAUCAGGUCAGUGGAACAGUAAAGAGUAUUGAUCAUAAGGUAUUGAUCAGGUGAGUGGUAGAGUGUAGGGUAUUGAUUAGGUGAGAGUAAAGGGUAUUGAUCAUAGGUUAUUGAUCAGGUCAGUGGUAGAGUAAAGGGUAUUGAUCGGGUCAGUGGUAGACUAAACGGUACUGAUCAGACUCACCAGGCGGCCGUCUCCUGACCCCAGGUCCGCCAGCAGGCCGGCACGUCCCUCCAAAAGCUUUAGAACAUUUUGAGUCUGCUGCUCAGAAGAUGGCAGGAAAGGCACCUAGAUGUAUGACAGUAACAUUGGGCCUCAUUCUCGAACGCAGUUAAGAAGAAUUUAAGAGGAAUUUAAGAGGAAUUUCUUCUGAAUUGGAUUUAGGACAACAUUUGGCAUUCAUGAAUGUUUUCUCAUCUGGGAUUUGCUCUGAACUUCAGAAGACUUUCCGAACUCGAAUUAGCAGUCGUAACUCGGCCAGAGUUUUCUCAAAUGCGAUUCCUUAAAAAACCACAAGAUGGCCCCGUGCGCCCUCUUGUGGUUUUUUGAGGAAUCGCA